rnacentral:tRNA from 1 species
AGCCCCGGGGUGUUACAUAUGAGAUUGCAAAUCUUAAGAAGCAGAUUAAACUCUGCCGGGGCUU